GUUCUCUAGUAACGGAUUGGAAAGAUCCACAACAAGGGGUGAAGGAACUUGGAAACCAACAGUAAAAUAGGGAGGAAAGCCCUUGAUUCGUGGCAACAGCUAAAGUGCUCACAUGUGCAGAGUGGACAAAGAGCACCGAGCGUAAGCUUCAAGAAAAACCUGGUUCACGGUCUUUUGGUCUGGAGUUAGACUCCGUGUACUCUGUCGUAUCAAAAAGAAGUGCUCAAGGAUAAAGCUGCUUCCUGUGCUUCCUCCAGCUUCCUGGUUUUGAAUAGGAUAUUAGAAGGAUGUGAGUGUGGGGCUGUGUCG